rnacentral:rRNA from 1 species
GUGGUUUAAUUCGAUGAUACGCGAGGAACCUUACCUGGGCUAGAACGCAUUCGGAAUCAGGCCGAAAGGCCUGCGCCAGCGAUGGCCGCUUGCGAGGUGCUGCAUGGUUGUCGUCAGCUCGUGCCGUGAGGUGUCGGGUUAAGUCCCAUAACGAGCGCAACCCCUACUGCUAGUUGCCAGCGGGUCAUGCCGGGGACUCUAGCGGAACUGCCAGCGUAAGCUGCGAGGAAGGUGGGGAUGACGUCAAAUCAGCACGGCCCUUACGUCCAGGGCUACACACGUGUUACAAUGGCCGGUACAGAGGGCAGCCACCCCGCGAGGGGGCGCGAAUCCCGAAAGCCGGUCCCAGUUCGGAUCGGAGUCUGAAACUCGCCUACAUGAAGUUGGAGUUGCUAGUAAUCGCGAAUCAGAAUGUCGCGGUGAAUGCGUUCCCGGGUCUU